UUCGUAGGCAGCGAGCGUUGUUCGGAGUUACUGGGCGUAAAGAGUGCGUAGGCGGUUUUCUAAGUUUGGGGUGAAAUCUCCCGGCUUAACUGGGAGGGUGCGCCGAAGACUGGAAGGCUUGAGUAUGGGAGAGGUAAGCGGAAUUCCUGGUGUAGCGGUGAAAUGCGUAGAUAUCAGGAGGAACCCCUGCGGUGUAGACGGCUUACUGGACCAUCACUGACGCUGAGGCACGAAAGCGUGGGUAGCAAACAGG
rnacentral:rRNA from 1 species